rnacentral:rRNA from 1 species
CCUACGGGCGGCAGCAGUGGGGAAUAUUGCACAAUGGGCGCAAGCCUGAUGCAGCCAUGCCGCGUGUGUGAAGAAGGCCUUCGGGUUGUAAAGCACUUUCAGCGGGGAGGAAGGCGGUGAGGUUAAUAACCUCAUCGAUUGACGUUACCCGCAGAAGAAGCACCGGCUAACUCCGUGCCAGCAGCCGCGGUAAUACGGAGGGUGCAAGCGUUAAUCGGAAUUACUGGGCGUAAAGCGCACGCAGGCGGUCUGUCAAGUCGGAUGUGAAAUCCCCGGGCUCAACCUGGGAACUGCAUUCGAAACUGGCAGGCUAGAGUCUUGUAGGGGGGGGUAGAAUUCCAGGUGUAGCGGUGAAAUGCGUAGAGAUCUGGAGGAAUACCGGUGGCGAAGGCGGCCCCCUGGACAAAGACUGACGCUCAGGUGCGAAAGCGUGGGAGCAAACAGGAUUAGAACCCUAGUAGUC